rnacentral:sRNA from 1 species
UUGUGUGUGAGGAGCAAGUUGAAACGUAAAAAGCAUCUGGGGUGGAAACACGGUAACACUCCCAGGUGCUUUUUAUU